UGAUACUGGAAAGGAAAAAGAAUACUUGCCUCAAUUUGGUCAGUGGAAUAUGAUGAACAAGAAAGUGAUAAAUGGAAGCACCGUCAGACAUUGGGCUUGCAUCAACUUCUCAAAAACCGUCCAAGAGAGCACUGCUUGUAGUUUCUGUCAACAGUUGGUUCAGAUGUGCCAAAUUUCUGGCAUGGAAUUUAAUCGGGACCCUGCAAUUCCAAUAUAUUCAGCCAGACCAGAUCAGGUAAAGAAGCCCUUAAAAUAUGUGUAUUAUGCUGC